GAUGAACGCUGGCGGCGUGCUUAACACAUGCAAGUCGAACGAAGCACUUUAUUUGAUUUCCUUCGGGACUGAUUAUUUUGUGACUGAGUGGCGGACGGGUGAGUAACGCGUGGGUAACCUGCCUUGUACAGGGGGAUAACAGUUGGAAACGGCUGCUAAUACCGCAUAAGCGCACGGCAUUGCAUGAUGCAGUGUGAAAAACUCCGGUGGUAUAAGAUGGACCCGCGUUGGAUUAGCAAGUUGGUGAGGUAACGGCCCACCAAGGCGACGAUCCAUAGCCGACCUGAGAGGGUGACCGGCCACAUUGGGACUGAGACACGGCCCAAACUCCUACGGGAGGCAGCAGUGGGGAAUAUUGCACAAUGGGCGAAAGCCUGAUGCAGCGACGCCGCGUGAGCGAAGAAGUAUUUCGGUAUGUAAAGCUCUAUCAGCAGGGAAGAUAAUGACGGUACCUGACGAAGAAGCACCGGCUAAAUACGUG
rnacentral:rRNA from 1 species